rnacentral:misc_RNA from 1 species
GAGAACUGAAACAUCUAAGUACCCGGAGGAAAGGACAUCAACAGAGACUCCGCUAGUAGUGGCGAGCGAACGCGGACUAGGCCAGUGCUUCGAUUGUAAGAACCGGAACACUCUGGAAAGAGUGGCCAUAGCGGGUGAUAGCCCCGUACGGGUUCAGGUUUAAAUGAUCCUCGAGUAAGGCGGGACACGUGCAAUCCUGUCUGAACAUGGGGGGACCACCCUCCAAGCCUAAGUACUCCUCAGCGACCGAUAGCGAACAAG